CCUACGGGAGGCAGCAGUAGGGAAUCUACCGCAAUGGACGAAAGUCUGACGGAGCAACGCCGCGUGAGUGAUGAAGGUUUUCGGAUCGUAAAACUCUGUUAUUAGGGAAGAACAAAUGUGUAAGUAACUGUGCACAUCUUGACGGUACCUAAUCAGAAAGCCACGGCUAACUACGUGCCAGCAGCCGCGGUAAU
rnacentral:rRNA from 1 species